UACGGGGGGUGCUAGCGUUAUUCGGAAUCAUUGGGCGUAAAGGGCGCGUAGGCGGUCUUUUAAGUCAGAUGUGAAAGCCCUCGGCUUAACCGAGGAAGUGCAUUUGAUACUAAGAGACUUGAGUAUGGGAGAGGGAAGCGGAAUUCCUGGUGUAGCGGUGAAAUGCGUAGAUAUUGGGAAGAACACCGGUGGCGCAGGCGACUCGCUGGGCUGUAACUGACGCUGAGGAACGAAAGCUAGGGGAGCAAAUGGG
rnacentral:rRNA from 1 species